UACGGAGGGUCCGAGCGUUAUCCGGAAUCAUUGGGUUUAAAGGGUCCGUAGGCGGGACAUUAAGUCAGGGGUGAAAUGUUGCAGCUCAACUGCAGAAUGGCCUUUGAUACUGGUGUUCUUGAGUUAUGUUGCUGUGGUCGGAACAUGUGGUGUAGCGGUGAAAUGCUUAGAUAUCACGCAGAACACCAAUUGCGAAGGCAGAUGCCUAUGUCGUAACUGACGCUGAGGCACGAAAGCGUGGGGAGCAAACAGG
rnacentral:rRNA from 1 species